rnacentral:lncRNA from 1 species
UCUGGGCACAGUGCUCCUCUACCAAGCAUCCUGGCUGCCCCAUCAGGGCAGAACUGGGUGAGCACAUGGACCCUGGAGUUCCAUCCUGGCUUCUCCGCUUCUGAGCUGCAUGACUUUGGGCCCAGACAAAGAGAUGCCAAGACCAGAGGGGAGGCUCAGGCUCCCAGAGGAUCCUCCAUCUGUAAGAAAGAGCCACAGGUUUCAGGACAAGGGGCAGAAGAGCGUAUUCCAGGGAGCUUGCUGCCUGAAUCACUACAAGCAGCGUCCCAGUAAACAGGCCUCCUGGAACCCGUGCAUGUGCCAGUGCUGCCUCUCUCAUCAAAGUUGCUUGGUGAGGUUACUGUGUCCAACCUGGGCAAACUGAGGCAGCUGCCCCAAUCACAGCCAGAGCGGAGCUGAGAUCGGAACUCAAGGCGGCUGCCUUCAAAGCUUGUGCUUCACUCCCUCUACCUAGCUGUAGCUGUAGGAUGAUUUGACAAGGGACUUGAAGAUACAAUCUCAAGGACAGAGCAGUAUCCACCUGCAACAGUUGGACAAUUUAAAAAACCAGUACUUUAGCACUCUGAGAGGCACGGGGCUGCCGGAGAGAGAAGAGUUGUCUAAACUGAGGAAGGUAGCCAGGCGCGGUGGCUCACGCCUGGGAUCCCAGCACUUUGGGAGGCCAAGAGGGCAGAUCGCUUGAGCCCAGGAGUUCGAGACCAGCCUGGACAAUAUAGCAAAACCCCAUCUCUAUUUAAGUUUAAAUAAAGAAGAAUUUAAAGAAAAAAUAAGGUGUGGCAGGUCCUCCAUGUUUGGUGUAUGAAUGAAUACAUCACUGAAGGAAUGACGUAUGAGUGUGAGAGAAUCAGCCACAUGAAGAAAAAUGCCCAGAAUCCAGGUUUCUCAUUUAGAGCCAUUCAAAGGGUGAGAGCUUAGGAUGUCAAGUUCAUCACCAGACUUGAUAUGCACAUCACUAAACCUGCACCCUUCUGAUUUUAAAGAUGGAGGUGGGAGACCUUUCUCCCCCAAGUCAUAGAACUGAUCAACAAAGAAAAAAAAAUACCAAAAAGAGCCACAUAUAAAUAACAAGCAAUAUUUACUGCUCGUGAUU